UCCUGUGGAAGGCAUGUGCUCGCUCAUUCCUGGUGCUGCGGUGAAGGCUCUUCUGCACCGGUUGGAUUUACAGUGAUACUUGGCCACCUGGAA
rfam:Erinaceus europaeus unplaced genomic scaffold scaffold00465, whole genome shotgun sequence